CUGGGGGAAGCCAAGCACCAUGGCGUGGAGACAAUAGAGCAGCCCAUGGAGAGGCCCAUGUGGGGAGGAUCUGAGACCUCUUGCCCACAAUCAGCACCAUGUACCAUGGAAAUCAAGGUGAUGCAAAGGGGCUGAACUUGCCACAGGUCUUCCCAACUUUCAGAAACUGGGAACAUAGGAGUUUCAUCAUCUCAGAAGUCUGCUGUGAAAGGGCUUUAGGUUCAAAUUGCAGAUCUGGGCUUGGAAGCACAGCUGACAUGGAAACCUGCCUGGGCUCACAGCAGAGUCACAGUGGGCUCCAGGAGACGGCGGGGCUUCCACCCUGUUUUCUCAGACACUGCACUGAAGUCUAGGACUGGCUGAGGCCAUCUUUUCCAUCUUCCAGUCUCCAAGAAGGAUAGUGUCUGACCCCUCUUAGAUAGGGAGGUUUUUACCCCUUCUUAAGUCAUCCCUCUACCCCAACCAUUUAUUGACUCCAAUGACAGCAACCUGUG